AACAAAGUUGCUGCUGCCGCCUCCGUGUGAGGCGGCCCCGGGCUGAGCAGCUGCUGCUCCCGGGUCUGUGCGGGGGGCCCCGGCAUUAACCCCUCCGUGCCCGGCCGGGGGGGGCUUUUUCCAGCUGGGACCCGCCCCCUGGGCAGCCCCGGGCUCUGCUCGCCCCAGCCCCGGCCCGGAGACCCCGGCUGCAGAAUGACGUCCACGUUUCGCUCUAGCUCAUUCCAUCCUCCCAUGGGACAUAGGAGAGAAAUGGCUGCAGUGGAGCCGGCUCAGAAGCCGGUGACCUUCGAGGCGGUGGCUGUGUAUUUCACCAGGGAAGAGUGGGCUCAGC